UACGGAGGGAGCUAGCGUUGUUCGGAAUUACUGGGCGUAAAGCGCACGUAGGCGGCUAUUCAAGUCAGGUGUGAAAUCCCGGGGCUCAACCCUGGAACUGCACUUGAUACUGCUUUGCUAGAGUACUGGAGAGGAGAUUGGAAUUUACGGUGUAGCAGUGAAAUGCGUAGAUAUCGUAAGGAAGACCAGUGGCGAAGGCGAAUCUCUGGACAGUUACUGACGCUGAGGCACGAAGGCCAGGGGAGCAAACGGG
rnacentral:rRNA from 1 species